ensembl:lncRNA
CCCAGUUCCCUCAACCUUUCCUCAUAGGCCAAUUCUUCAGCAACUAAAAUAAAUGCCUUUAGUCCGAGUAGUUCUUACAUGAAGUUCACUCCUGCUAAGAAGUUAAAUUAUUUUUGCUGUAGUUCUUCUGCUCUGGUAAUUUACCCCUGUCUUGCCUCUUCAGUCUAGAUGAGCUGGAUGUUGCCUACCAGCAGAACUGAUCAAGGAGCUCUUCUGGGCCACACGUGGGAAGAGGAAGAACAGCCAGGAUUCAUUAAGAGCAGACGGGUUUCAUUGCAGAAGGUCUGACCAGAGGAAAAUGAGCAAAAACCACUUGAUGAGGCGGGAUGAUGGCAGUGAACGUAUUACUGCAGCAGUGCAGAACUCCUUACAGCCCUAUCCUCAUUGCGAUUCGGAGUGCUGUGAUGUUGGGGACAGAAUUAUGCCCAUAAACCUCCACAGCCCCCAUCACAGAACCUGUUGGACAUGAGGGUGGUAGCAGCACUUGGGCAGUAAAAGCCCCUGUAUUUUUCCAGCUGUCUGUGUGCUGAGAGAAAUGUGGCUGGGUUAACUCUCUGUGGGACCGUGUUGAACUGACUCCUGAACUAGCAAGAAAGCUGUUAAUUAAGAAAAGUAAAUCAAUUGUAUUACCUAACUGCUUGUAUUUCCAAAGAGCGUGUCGGUGCUUCAGGGGAUAAAUGUCUUUCAGGGCUGUGGCUGUUCUGCAGCAGGGUAUGUAAUUCUCACAGGGAUCACUGAGCAGGAGCAAGCACUGCCUUGGACACGGGCUGUGAUGGGCACUGUGGCAGCGUGCAAUGGCUGUUCCUGAGGAGCUGGAACAAUGAAGAAAUACAGAAUCAAAUGCAGGUGGCAUCGCAGACCCCGGAGAGGUCUGGGUCGUGGUACGCAUCUGGGGAGGAGCUGGUCUGAUUUACUGUCUGAGUAGUCCUGCUAUAGAGAAUUGCUGGCAAAAUGAAAAGUUAAACAAGAAAAGAAAAUUAAAAAAAUCAGGUGGAUUUAUGCAUGAAACAGAGGGAAUUCCCCGCUAUGUGGCAAAUAUCAUCCAGUGUUAACUUGCUCCAGUUGUAUUGGAACAUCCCAUCCAUAAUGCACGAGUUUGUCUGCUUUAGAUCAGAGUCGAUAGCAGGAUAAACCCAGGAGAUUAAUGAGUCACGUGAUCUGAACUGUGCCAACAACUGUGUUUUUCUGUACUUAAGCUAUAAAGCACAUGGAGGGGAGCCUCUAAAAACUGAAGCUCCCUAAUGCCUCCGUGAAGUUGCAUAACUCUGCUGGUGUCUGUGUGUGUGUGUCUGUGUGGGAUGCUGGUCACAGUGCCUGCAGGAUCCCCUGGGCUCUGACCUGCUCUGCCUGAGAAUGGCACAGGCUGAAGAUGGAACCAGAGAGUCACUUCAUGGAGCCUUGCUUCACAGCAAUGUCAUGGGACUGUGGUAGGAUUUAAGAAAUGGAAAAAUGAAAGCUGAAAAGCAGAUUGAAAAAUUAAUGUAGGCCUUGAUUUGUCUUGGUACUUGAAUACAUGCCUGAUGUCCAGUGCGUCGAGGUUCUGCACAUAUCAGCAGGGCUGCUUACAAACCAAGGACCCAUGAGCUGAUGCUUGUGCAGACUUGACCUCGUCUUGGUGGAAGUUUCCACUGACUGCAUUCACAGCAUCUAAAAAGUUGAAUUACAAAAGAUCACCUGGAAUAUCUCUUGAAGUAGUAUUUUUGACUUCUGUGUAGUCCUGUUGUUUUCUUCUGGCUAAACCUGGAUCUGCCAAGAGGGACAUCUCCAUAUGCAUUAGGAAACCAUUUCCACUGCCUUUAGCAAUCAUUCCUCUCAUUUUUUGCCAUUUAUACCUUUGAAUACUUCUGAGCUGCUGUUUUAUUUUCAGUAACAUUUUCUUCUAGAAAAGCCAUCAGCAUUCAACAACAACAACCACCAAACACCAUCUCACACGUUCCAUAAGUUUUUUUUAUUAUUUUUUUAAAUAAGUAUAUGAAAAAAGUUUGAAAAGUCCUCCUGCCUAGUAUGAAAUGUUUACAGUUCUCAGACUGCAGCUGCAUUUCAAGCAAAUUCUCUUGCAAACACUAUGUAUCUUACAAUAGCAGUGCAAUUUGUUGUUCAGAGACAGAUCAUCUGACUACAGGCAAACUUGUAAAGCUUUCACAUAUAGUGCUUUUAUUUUAGCUUAUUAGUGGCUUUAGAUACAGGACUCUGAUUUACUGAGGCUUCUUCUGUAUGCCUGGAUGAUGAGCAUUGUGUAAAUAACACAGGUGCAUAGCCUUGAAAAAAUCCUUCCUAAUGCUUGGCUCAAGGUGUUGCAAAGAACGUCGGAAACCGAAAGGCAAAUAAAAUAACAAGUGUUUGUGUGCCAACAGAAGCUGUUUAGUUUGCUCUGCAUUCAAUACUGGGUAUUCAGCAAGAUACGUAACUGGCAGAGACAAAGCUGAAUCUUAUCAUUAGUCCUAUUGAAGAACGAAUAUUUAUUAAUGAAUAAACUUUUGACAUUCUCAAAACCUCCACCUCCACAGUGAUGUGCUGGAGCCAGCUGCAUUGGCUUGUGCUGCUUUGUUAUACCUAUCCUGGCAGAGAAAAACAGCGGCGUAACGUAUUUUGUUGCUUUGCUUUGUGUGUGAUGUUGACAUACAUGUGUCCUAUCCUUG